UUUUGUUUUCCAUCAGUAAAACUGCAUUUAGGAACCAUUAACUUCAAUGUUCUGGUGUCAACUGAUUGCUUGGGCCUUGUCAAUUGCACUCAGCCUGAUCUACAAAAGGAAUGGUCCCUGAGCUGUUCUUGUGUCCUCUGCACAGUUCCAUAUUGCUCUUAUCAGCAGGAGAAGAGCAUGUUGGUGAACAGUGCUUCAGUCAGCAUGCCUGCAAACAACCUGAUGGGCUUCCUCCUGGUGAGUCUAAAGGAGAGGCUUUGUGCAACAGCUUUCAGCCAGGCUAACUGGUGAUGUCUCUGGGAGCCCCAGUGACCUGCCACCCUUCCAAGCAGGAUCUGCUGAAAUGGGUCUUCCUCUGCUGUCUGUGACCAUCUGGUCCAGCUGGAAAGCCUGCAGUCCCACAGCUGCAGAGAGGGAAGGGAAGGAUAAAGAGACUUAAUAUUACGUACAGAAUUUCUAGCAGAAUUUCUAGGGUUUCCCCACAAAGUCUCUUUGUCUUAUUUUGAUUAUUCAAUCAAUACGAAGUCUGUAUACAAGUGUACAGGAACCAUUAGGUCAUGGCCUGAACAAGUGACUGAGCACCUGGUGAAAGUUGUGGCCAGCCCUGAGAGCACAGGUGCAAGCAAUCUACCUGUGUGACCCAGGGUCCACUCCUCCCUAACCUCAGUUAAGGGCUGACAGCAGAAAGGGAAGUAUCCCUACUUGGAGACUGCCUCCUUUGGGAGUUUCUAAUGAGCCCUGGUCAUUGUAAGGAGUAAGCUAUUCUUUCUUUAUUAUUGAACUGUGACCACUACCUUUCUUGAGUGAUCUGAAACUGGCUAAAGGCAAUGGCCUCCUAUUCUUACAUCAGCCUAUCAUAACACUGCCUUCAAAGUACAGGGGAUCUGUCUUUACCUUUCUUUCAAACUUGGUGUUUCAUGGUUGAUUCAGACAGCCAGAAAACCAGAAAUAUUUCCCUGAACCAUUUUUGCAGCUCCUUGGGAAGAGUCAUGAACAGGAUGUGGGAAAGCCAAAACAAAAAGUGCUUUCUUGAUCCAAAGUCUUUUAUUAGGUCUAAAUUCAGCUUAGGAGUAAGCUGCUGAAAACACUUUAAAUUGUCACCACUCUUUAACAUAUAUAAGCUCACACUAAAUGGUGGCCCAUUAUGACAUUUUGAUGCUGUGCUUUCUACAGCAGAAAGCGCUUAUCAACUCUUGGUACCAUUUAUAAUGAGCAGUGUUUGUGUGUGCUCUUGAGGGUGAAGACAAAAACUAACAGCUUUUAAUUAUCUGGCACUGCUUUGAAUAUGAGAAAUCUGAAAGAGAUGCUAUUUAACAAUAUUUAUUGUAUUAUUUUCCUUAUACUGAGCACUUUCUAAAACAAUGUUCAUUAUAGUAUUCAUUUAAUUUCCAGUGCAGACUGCUGUAAGCCGUUCUGUUAUUUAUUAGUUAAUCACAAACUGCAUAUAUAUGUGAUGAAAUAUUAAUCAAUAUUUCCUUAUUAAAAUACUUCAUUUGAACUGCCUCACAAGGAAAAUUAGGAAACUGUAGUCAUUUCACAGUUUUAAAGUUGUUAUAAAUUUGUUUUAUAAGUGUAGAAGUUACUGGUCUUUAGUAUAAUAUAGUGAUCCUCAAGAGUUUGCUUUGGAAAACUGAACAAUGAUGUAAAAAUCAUAGAAUCAUAUCCUAGAAUCAUAGAUUACAUGAUAGAGUUUUUGAGUAUCACUGUCCAGCCUUGUUCAUUGUAGGGACAUAGGAAGAAACAGUCAUGUAAACAUCUGACUGCUUUCUUAAAUUACAGUUUAAGAAGGCCAAGUGUUACACAGUAUUGAAUGAUGUAUUCUGAGUAUCGUGACAGAUUUUUUUAUUUUAAAUACACAGUACUUAAAGAGUGGUAUGUUUAACAUAAUGUGAAUUGCCAGAAGCUUUAUUUUUAUUACGUUAUUAGAUAUCCAAAUGGGAAAAUGGAGCAGAUUUUAGACUUGCACAGUGGCACCUGCUGUUAGAGAAAUGGAAAUAAAGCAGAAAAAAAUUAAUUGCA
rnacentral:lncRNA from 1 species